rnacentral:rRNA from 1 species
GUAGUCCACGCCCUAAACGAUGACAAUUAGCUGUUGGGGAAUUGAAAGUCCUUGGUAGCGUAGCUAACGCGUGAAAUUGUCCGCCUGGGGAGUACGGUCGCAAGAUUAAAACUCAAAGGAAUUGACGGGGACCCGCACAAGCGGUGGAUGAUGUGGAUUAAUUCGAUGCAACGCGAAAAACCUUACCUAGCCUUGACAUGUACGGAAGCUCGAUGAAAGUUGAGUGUGCUCGAAAGAGAACCGUAACACAGGUGCUGCAUGGCUGUCGUCAGCUCGUGUCGUGAGAUGUUGGGUUAAGUCCCGCAACGAGCGCAACCCUUGUUAUUAGUUGCCAUCAUUAAGUUGGGCACUCUAAUGAGACUGCCGGUGACAAACCGGA